UUAACAAAUAUCGCAUGUGUUUAAAAAAAAAACUAAAACUGAUACUGAAACUAAAUUGAAGCAGUUUAGAAAAAAAAUAUAAAUAAAAACCUGCCUUAAACGGGCAGUAAAACUAACCGAAUUUGUUUUUGUGGGCAAUGUUGAUGAACUCUGAUGGAUUUGUGGAAUCCAGCCAUCAUACACCCACAGAGGUCAGAGGUCAGAGUGCAACGUUGACGUGUGCCUCAGAAGAUUCCCUUUGGCAAAGUUCAAAUAUUGGAAAUUAAUAUCGACUUUUUUCAUUUUUAUACAUUUACAAACAAACAAAUACACUUGGAAAUGAUUAUUUUCGUCAACAAUUACAUUUUCACCCCUCUUAUCAGGAGCUAUUUCAAGCUAGUCUCACUUUCUGGAAAGGAAACAACGCCCUCUGCUGGUCAUGGAACGCGUACUUUUUAACUUCACAGUAAUUGGCAGUUUUGCUUUGUUUUGUUUUUUUUAUUUUGUUUUAUUUUACUAAAAAUGACAAAUCGGAAACACGCACAUUCAUGCCUGUGGUGUUCUUUCUAGUAGGACUUCAAUAUAGUCUGUUUAGGUGCCUGUUUUGUUCACAUGUUCCAGGCCCGUCUAAGCGGGCGGAUGUUUAAAUUUUCCCUAAUCCGCAUUUAAAGUGUGCAGGCCAUUGCGAUGACAUCAACCUCGCACCCCCCACCCCUCAUUCCAACACAUGCAGACCCUCCAUGAUGCUAUUAAUAGACCUGCGAGGGCUCUCAAUGACUGCACCCAUGCCGAAGAACCCCAAAGUGAUUUUUUUAUCUACACACUAGCCACUGCAAAAAAAAAAAAACUAAAAUCCAAAAACCA